rnacentral:rRNA from 1 species
ACUCAAAUGAAUAGACGGGGGAGCGCACAACCGGUGGAGCAUGUUGUUUAAUUCGAUACGAAGCGAAAAACCUUACCCAGAUUUGACAUGUAACUGCACGGUCAUGGAAACAUGGCCUUCUUCGAGAGUGUUACACAGGUGAUGCAUGGCUGUCGUCAGCUCGUGUCGUGAGACGUCCGCUUAAGUGCGGUAACGAGCGCAACCCUUACUGUGUGUUACAUUUCACACAGGACUGCCCCGCCUCUGGCGGGGAGGAAGGAGAGGACGACGUCAAGUCAGCACGUCCCUUACAUCUGGGGCCACAAACAUCCUACAAUGGAGCCGACAAUAGGUUGCGACGGGGUAACCCUGAGCCAAUCCUCCAAACGGCUCCUCAGUUCAGAUUGCGGGCUGCAACCCGCCCGCAUGAAGUCGGAAUCGGUAGUAAUCGCAAAUCAGCAGGUUGCGGUGAAUACGUUCUCGCUCCUUGUACACACCGCCCGU